AAGGCUAUACUUUACAGGAUCAUUUCUGUAGUAGCAUAGUUCUUCCUACUUUCCAAUUUUGGAGAGACCAACCCCAUGAUGAUGAAAUUUAUUCUCUUACUUGAGCGUGAGGCAGAGUUAGCGGCGAUUGUAUCGACGCUAAUUUAUCGAUGAUCGCAAGCCCUUCGGGGUCGGGUAAGAGGACGAUCUGAGUGGU
rnacentral:snoRNA from 1 species